rnacentral:rRNA from 1 species
CUUAACACAUGCAAGUCGAGGGGCAGCAUUUUAGUUUGCUUGCAAACUGAAGAUGGCGACCGGCGCACGGGUGAGUAACACGUAUCCAACCUGCCGAUAACUCCGGAAUAGCCUUUCGAAAGAAAGAUUAAUACCGGAUAGCAUACGAAUAUCGCAUGAUAUUUUUAUUAAAGAAUUUCGGUUAUCGAUGGGGAUGCGUUCCAUUAGUUUGUUGGCGGGGUAACGGCCCACCAAGACUACGAUGGAUAGGGGUUCUGAGAGGAAGGUCCCCCACAUUGGAACUGAGACACGGUCCAAACUCCUACGGGAGGCAGCAGUGAGGAAUAUUGGUCAAUGGGCGAGAGCCUGAACCAGCCAAGUAGCGUGAAGGAUGAAGGCUCUAUGGGUCGUAAACUUCUUUUAUAUGGGAAUAAAGUUUUCCACGUGUGGAAUUUUGUAUGUACCAUAUGAAUAAGGAUCGGCUAACUCCGUGCCAGCAGCCGCGGUAAUACGGAGGAUCCGAGCGUUAUCCGGAUUUAUUGGGUUUAAAGGGAGCGUAGGUGGAUUGUUAAGUCAGCUGUGAAAGUUUGCGGCUCAACCGUAAAAUUGCAGUUGAAACUGGCAGUCUUGAGUACAGUAGAGGUGGGCGGAAUUCGUGGUGUAGCGGUGAAAUGCUUAGAUAUCACGAAGAACUCCGAUUGCGAAGGCAGCUCACUAGACUGUCACUGACACUGAUGCUCGAAAGUGUGGGUAUCAAACAGGAUUAGAUACCCUGGUAGUCCACACAGUAAACGAUGAAUACUCGCUGUUUGCGAUAUACAGUAAGCGGCCAAGCGAAAGCAUUAAGUAUUCCACCUGGGGAGUACGCCGGCAACGGUGAAACUCAAAGGAAUUGACGGGGGCCCGCACAAGCGGAGGAACAUGUGGUUUAAUUCGAUGAUACGCGAGGAACCUUACCCGGGCUUAAAUUGCAACAGAAUAUAUUGGAAACAGUAUAGCCGUAAGGCUGUUGUGAAGGUGCUGCAUGGUUGUCGUCAGCUCGUGCCGUGAGGUGUCGGCUUAAGUGCCAUAACGAGCGCAACCCUUAUCUUUAGUUACUAACAGGUCAUGCUGAGGACUCUAGAGAGACUGCCGUCGUAAGAUGUGAGGAAGGUGGGGAUGACGUCAAAUCAGCACGGCCCUUACGUCCGGGGCUACACACGUGUUACAAUGGGGGGUACAGAAGGCGGCUACCUGGUGACAGGAUGCUAAUCCCAAAAACCUCUCUCAGUUCGGAUCGAAGUCUGCAACCCGACUUCGUGAAGCUGGAUUCGCUAGUAAUCGCGCAUCAGCCAUGGCGCGGUGAAUACGUUCCCGGGCCUUGUACACACCGCCCGUCAAGCCAUGAAAGCCGGGGGUACCUGAAGUACGUAACCGCAAGGAGCGUCCUAGGGUAAAACUGGUAAUUGGGGCUAAGUCAUAAC